rnacentral:hammerhead_ribozyme from 1 species
CUCUUAUUGAUGAGUCCCAAAUAGGACGAAACGUGCGUCCUGGAU